CGGGUGAGCAACGCGUGAGGAACCUGCCUCAAAGAGGGGGACAACAGUUGGAAACGACUGCUAAUACCGCAUAAGCCCACGGCUCGGCAUCGAGCAGAGGGAAAAGGAGCAAUCCGCUUUGAGAUGGCCUCGCGUCCGAUUAGCUAGUUGGUGAGGUAACGGCCCACCAAGGCGACGAUCGGUAGCCGGACUGGGAGGUUGAACGGCCACAUUGGGACUGAGACACGGCCCAG
rnacentral:rRNA from 1 species